rnacentral:rRNA from 1 species
GAUGAACGCUAGCGGCAGGCCUAAUACAUGCAAGUCGAACGGGAUCCAGAUCAAAGCUUGCUUUGGUCUGGUGAGAGUGGCGCACGGGUGCGUAACGCGUGAGCAACCUACCCUUGUCAGGGGGAUAGCCCGGCGAAAGUCGGAUUAAUACCGCAUGACAUCAUUGAGAGGCAUCUUUCGAUGAUCAAAGAUUUAUCGGACAAGGAUGGGCUCGCGUGACAUUAGCUAGUUGGUAAGGUAACGGCUUACCAAGGCUGCGAUGUCUAGGGGCUCUGAGAGGAGAAUCCCCCACACUGGUACUGAGACACGGACCAGACUCCUACGGGAGGCAGCAGUAAGGAAUAUUGGUCAAUGGACGGAAGUCUGAACCAGCCGUGCCGCGUGCAGGAGGACGGCCCUAUGGGUUGUAAACUGCUUUUAUACGGGAACAAACGUCGGUACGUGUACCGGUCUGAGUGUACCGUAAGAAUAAGGAUCGGCUAACUCCGUG